rnacentral:tRNA from 1 species
GUCAGGUUGGCCGAGUGGUGUAAGGCGCCAGACUUAAAUUCUGGUUCUCGAAAGAGAGCGUGGGUUCGAACCCACAUCUGACA